GUGGGGAAUUUUGGACAAUGGGCGCAAGCCUGAUCCAGCAAUGCCGCGUGCAGGAAGAAGGCCUUCGGGUUGUAAACUGCUUUUGUACGGAACGAAACGGUCCUGGCUAAUACCCGGGGCUAAUGACGGUACCGUAAGAAUAAGCACCGGCUAACUACGUGCCAGCAGCCGCGGUAAUACGUAGGGUGCGAGCGUUAAUCGGAAUUACUGGGCGUAAAGCGUGCGCAGGCGGUUGUGUAAGACAGGUGUGAAAUCCCCGGGCUUAACCUGGGAACUGCGCUUGUGACUGCACGGCUAGAGUAUGGCAGAGGGGGGUGGAAUUCCACGUGUAGCAGUGAAAUGCGUAGAUAUGCGGAGGAACACCGAUGGCGAAGGCAAUCCCCUGGGCCUGCACUGACGCUCAUGCACGAAAGCGUGGGGAGCAAACAGGAUUAGAAACCCCUGUAGUCC
rnacentral:rRNA from 1 species